rnacentral:rRNA from 1 species
CAGUCGCCGCGGGAAUACGGAGGGUGCAAGCGUUAAUCGGAAUUACUGGGCGUAAAGCGCACGCAGGCGGUCUGUCAAGUCAGAUGUGAAAUCCCCGGGCUUAACCUGGGAACUGCAUUUGAAACUGGCAGGCUAGAGUCUUGUAGAGGGGGGUAGAAUUCCAGGUGUAGCGGUGAAAUGCGUAGAGAUCUGGAGGAAUACCGGUGGCGAAGGCGGCCCCCUGGACAAAGACUGACGCUCAGGUGCAAAAGCGUGGGGAGCAAACAGGAUUAGAUACCCCAGUAGUCCCUGUCUCUUAUAC